rnacentral:rRNA from 1 species
AUACGUAGGGAGCGAGCGUUGUCCGGAAUUACUGGGUGUAAAGGGAGCGUAGGCGGGAGUGCAAGUCAGAUGUGAAAUACAUGGGCUCAACCCAUGGGCUGCAUUUGAAACUGCAUUUCUUGAGUGAAGUAGAGGCAAGCGGAAUUCCUGGUGUAGCGGUGAAAUGCGUAGAUAUCAGGAGGAACACCGGUGGCGAAGGCGGCUUACUGGGCUUUUACUGACGUUGAGGCUCGAAAGCGUGGGGAGCAAACAGGAUUAGAUACCCUGGUAGUCCACGCUGUAAACGAUGAUUACUAGGUGUGGGGGGACUGACCCCUUCCGUGCCGCAGUUAACACAAUAAGUAAUCCACCUGGGGAGUACGGCCGCAAGGUUGAAACUUAAAUGAAUUGGCGGGG